rnacentral:rRNA from 1 species
UACGGGAGGCAGCAGUAGGGAAUUUUCGGCAAUGGGGGAAACCCUGACCGAGCAACGCCGCGUGAAGGAAGAAGUAAUUCGUUAUGUAAACUUCUGUCAUAGAGGAAGAACGGUGGAUAUAGGGAAUGAUAUCCAAGUGACGGUACUCUAUAAGAAAGCCACGGCUAACUACGUGCCAGCAGCCGCGGUAAUACGUAGGUGGCGAGCGUUAUCCGGAAUUAUUGGGCGUAAAGAGGGAGCAGGCGGCACUAAGGGUCUGUGGUGAAAGAUCGAAGCUUAACUUCGGUAAGCCAUGGAAACCGUAGAGCUAGAGUGUGUGAGAGGAUCGUGGAAUUCCAUGUGUAGCGGUGAAAUGCGUAGAUAUAUGGAGGAACACCAGUGGCGAAGGCGACGAUCUGGCGCAUAACUGACGCUCAGUCCCGAAAGCGUGGGCAGCAAAGAGGAUUAGAUCCCCUAGUAGUCCACGCCGUAAACGAUGAGUAGUAAGUGGUGGGAGUCAAAUCUCAGUGCUGCAGAUAACGCAAUAAGUCCUCCGCCUGAGUAGUACGUUCGCAAGAAUGAAACUCAAAGGAAUUGACGGGGGCCCGCACAAGCGGUGGAGCAUGUGGUUUAAUUAGAAGCAACGCGAAGAACCUUACCAGGUCUCGACAUCGAUCUAAAGGCUCCAGAGAUGGAGAGAUAGCUAUAGAGAAGACAGGUGGUGCAUGGUUGUCGUCAGCUCGUGUCGUGAGAUGUUGGGUUAAGUCCCGCAACGAGCGCAACCCCUGUUUCCAGUUGCCAGCAUUAAGUUGGCGACUCUGGCGAGACUGCCGGUGACAAGCCGGAGGAAGGCGGGGAGGACGUCAAAUCAUCAUCCCCCUUAUGACCUGGCUACACACGUGCUACAAUGGACAGAGCAGAGGGAAGCGAAGCCGCGAGGUGGAGCGAAACCCAUAAAACUGUUCUCAGUUCGGACUGCAGUCUGCAACUCGACUGCACGAAGAUGGAAUCGCUAGUAAUCGCGAAUCAGCAUGUCGCGGUGAAUACGUUCUCGGGCCUUGCACU